rnacentral:rRNA from 1 species
CAGUAGCCACGGUAAUACGUAGGUCCCGAGCGUUGUCCGGAUUUAUUGGGUUUAAAGGGAGUGUAGGCGGUCUGUUAAGCGUGUUGUGAAAUUUAGGUGCUCAACAUCUAACUUGCAGCGCGAACUGGCGGACUUGAGUGCACGCAACGUAUGCGGAAUUCAUGGUGUAGCGGUGAAAUGCUUAGAUAUCAUGACGAACUCCGAUUGCGAAGGCAGCGUACGGGAGUGUUACUGACGCUUAAGCUCGAAGGUGCGGGUAUCGAACAGGAUUAGAUACCCGGGUAGUCCCUGUCUCUUAUAC